rnacentral:rRNA from 1 species
CAAUAGCGUAUAUUAAAGUUGUUGCAGUUAAAAAGCUCGUAGUUGGAUUUCUGCUGAGGACGAUCGGUCCGCCCACUGGGUGAGUAUCUGGCUCGGCCUUGGCAUCUUCUUGGAGAACGUUGCUGCACUUGACUGUGUGGCGCGGUAUCCAGGACUUUUACUUUGAGGAAAUUAGAGUGUUUCAAGCAGGCGCACGCCUUGAAUACAUUAGCAUGGAAUAAUGAGAUAGGACCUUGGUUCUAUUUUGUUGGUUUCUAGAGCUGAGGUAAUGAUUAAUAGGGAUAGUUGGGGGCAUUCGUAUUUAACUGUCAGAGGUGAAAUUCUUGGAUUUAUUAAAGACGGACUACUGCGAAAGCAUUUGCCAAGGAUGUUUUCAUUGA